rnacentral:rRNA from 1 species
UACGGGGGGAGCAAGCGUUGUUCGGAUUUACUGGGCGUAAAGGGCGCGUAGGCGGCGCAACAAGUCACUUGUGAAAUCUCCGGGCUUAACCCGGAGCGGCCAAGUGAUACUGUCGUGCUAGAGUGCGGAAGGGGCUACUGGAAUUCUCGGUGUAGCGGUGAAAUGCGUAGAUAUCAAGAGGAACACCUGAGGUGAAGACGGGUUGCUGGGCCGACACUGACGCUGAGUGCGCGAAAGCCAGGGGAGCAAACGGG